AGCAUAUCAAUAAGCGGAGGAAAAGAAACCAACAGGGAUUGCCUCAGUAACGGCGAGUGAAGCGGCAAUGGCUCAGAUUUGGAAUCUGACCCCUCUGUGGGGGGGUCCGAGUUGUAGUCUGUAGAGGAUGCUUUGGGGGUGGGCCGGGCCCAAGUUCCUUGGAACAGGGCGUCAGAGAGGGUGAGAGUCCCGUCCGUGGCCUGGAUGCCUCCCCCAGGUGAAGCUCCCUCGACGAGUCGAGUUGUUUGGGAAUGCAGCUCAAACCGGGUGGUAAAUCUCAUCUAAAGCUAAAUACCCGCCAGAGACCGAUAGCGCACAAGUAGAGUGAUCGAAAGAUGAAAAGCACUUUGAAAAGAGAGUUCAACAGCACGUGAAAUUGUUGAAAGGGAAGCGCUCGCGACCAGACUUGCCCGUGGUCCCUCAGCCGACGGUCCCUCCGCCGGUGCACUGGGCCACGGGCAGGCCAGCAUCGGUCCGGGUGGCGGGAGAAGGAUCCCGGGAAUGUGGCACCCUUUGGGUGCGUUAUAGCCUGGGGUGUGACGCCGUCCGCCGGACCGAGGCCUGCGCUCCGGCAAGGAUGCUGGCGUAAUGGUCGCCAGCGACCCGUCUUGAAACACGGACCAAGGAGUCUAACAUCCACGCGAGUGUUCGGGCGUCAAACCCGCGGACGCGCAAUGAAAGUGAACGGAGGUGAGAACCCGCUGGGGUGCACCAUCGACCGAUCCUGAAGUUCACGGAUGGAUUUGAGUAGGAGCGUGGCUGUUGGGACCCGAAAGAUGGUGAACUAUGCCUGAAUAGGGUGAAGCCAGAGGAAACUCUGGUGGAGGCUCGCAGCGGUUCUGACGUGCAAAUCGAUCGUCAAAUUUGGGUAUAGGGGCGAAAGACUAAUCGAACCAUCGGGUGCUACUGGGUGGUCAAGAGGUGGGCUGCUGAGCUCAACCUAGUCCCCCGCUCACGGGGGCGACGCUGUCAAAUUGCGGGGACACCCUUAGAGCCUGGGUCCGUCACCAUCUGACCGUGAGGUCGGCGUCCGAUCGUGGGGUGGUGUGCGCCCCGCGUCUGGACGGGCGACCUGGGAUUGGGCGAUCCGCAGCCAACCCCCAUGGGCCCGUCGGGUCACCGGGGAGGGGUUCACAGACUAGAUGGCAGCGGGUGCGAUCCCAUGAGGGAUCGGCCUAAGGUAUAGUCGGGCCACCGGGAGACCGGUCUGGGGAGGCAUGGGUCCGGGUGUGGGUGAGCGGUCCCCGGUCCUCGCAUGUGCGGCUGGGCCACGCCGGACGUCGUGCCCCGCCAGGGGAGGUGUGCCUCAGAGGGGUGCAUCCCUGGGGUAGUCGCUAGUAGCUGGUUCCUGCCGAAGUUUCCCUCAGGAUAGCAGUAACGUGCGACAGUUUUAUGAGGUAAAGCGAAUGAUUAGAGGCCUUGGGGUUGAAACAACCUUAACCUAUUCUCAAACUUUGAAUAUGUAAGAAGUCCCCGUUGCUCGGUUUGAACGUGGACAUUUGAAUGUACCGUUACUAGUGGGCCAUUUUUGGUAAGCAGAACUGGCGAUGCGGGAUGAACCGAACGCGGGGUUAAGGUGCCGGAAUGCACGCUCAUCAGACACCACAAAAGGUGUUGGUUCAUCUGGACAGCAGGACGGUGGCCAUGGAAGUCGGAAUCCGCUAAGGAGUGUGUAACAACUCACCUGCCGAAUGAACUAGCCCUGAAAAUGGAUGGCGCUCAAGCGUGCUACCCAUACCCCGCCGCCAGGGUAGGAACGAGGCCCUGGCGAGUAGGCAGGCGCGGGGGUCCGUGACGAAGCCUCGGGAGCGAUCCUGGGUCGAACGGCCCCCGGUGCAG
rnacentral:rRNA from 1 species